rnacentral:rRNA from 1 species
UACGUAGGGUCCGAGCGUUGUCCGGAAUUAUUGGGCGUAAAGGGCUCGUAGGCGGUCUGUUGCGUCGGGAGUGAGAACUUACAGCUUAACUGUGAGCGUGCUUUCGAUACGGGCAGACUUGAGGCACUCAGGGGAGAACGGAAUUCCUGGUGUAGCGGUGAAAUGCGCAGAUAUCAGGAGGAACACCGGUGGCGAAGGCGGUUCUCUGGGAAUGUCCUGACGCUGAGGAGCGAAAGUGUGGGGAGCGAACAGG